GCUCCUCUUUACGAUCCUGAGCUGAAUCGUCAACAAAAGCUUCCUCGGAAACGCUAGUAUGCUGCUGUUCCUGAAAGUAAGAAAACUACAACGAGAAGAAAUUGGACAAUAUUAUUUAAAUCGAAUUUGUUACAAAAAGUUAUGAAAUACGUUUAAAAUUCUAUCAAAGAGCAUACUAAAGAAGAGGAACAAUUGUGUUGCAAGAAGAAAGAAAAUUCCGCAAUGAUGGGUAGAUCCGGAUCCACGAAGAGGCAUUCAUAGCUCGGUGGAGAUGUCCAUCGCAGAAGCAUGGUUGCAUCG
rnacentral:lncRNA from 1 species